GACGAACGCUGGCGGCGUGCUUAACACAUGCAAGUCGAACGGUAAGGCCCCUUCGGGGGUACACGAGUGGCGCACGGGUGAGUAACACGUGGGUGAUCUGCCCUGCACUUCGGGAUAAGCCUGGGAAACUGGGUCUAAUACCGGAUAGGACCACGCUCUGCAUGGAGUGUGGUGGAAAGCUUUUGCGGUGUGGGAUGGGCCCGCGGCCUAUCAGCUUGUUGGUGGGGUGAUGGCCUACCAAGGCGACGACGGGUAGCCGGCCUGAGAGGGUGUCCGGCCACACUGGGACUGAGAUACGGCCCAGACUCCUACGGGAGGCAGCAGUGGGGAAUAUUGCACAAUGGGCGCAAGCCUGAUGCAGCGACGCCGCGUGGGGGAUGACGGCCUUCGGGUUGUAAACCUCUUUCAGUACCGACGAAGCGCAAGUGACGGUAGGUACAGAAGAAGCACCGGCCAACUACGUG
rnacentral:rRNA from 1 species